rnacentral:rRNA from 1 species
CCCUGCCAUUUGUACACACCGCCCGUCGCUCCUACCGAUUGGGUGUGCUGGUGAAGUGUGCGGAUUGGGGCCGGGGGAUGGCGACAUUCCACGGUCUUGAAAAGCACAUUAAACCCUCCCACCUAGAGGAAGGA